UCAAGGCCCAGCGCAGGUACACAGAGGGCACUUGGGGAAAGGCAGUGAGAAGCCAGAGUCAGUGUCUCUGGGCCAUCCCAGCCCACUUUCCUAGCCGUGAUACAUAUAUAGAUAUCCCUCCACCUCAGAGCUGGAUCGAGUUUGUCUGCAGCCUUUUCUGCAGAUCCAUCACACAGCAGAGCUUGGUGCAGAUUUUGCAAACAGCUUGAGAUUACUGAAUUAAUUAGAAUAAAAUUAAUCAAAACACCCACCACAAAGGAACCUGAGCAUGUGGAGUGUGACUCGGGUGAGGGAGGGGGCGCAGCCGAGAGAGGGCAUCGCAGGCUGCAGCUGGCUUCCGGCCCGGAGUCCACUCAGCUGGGAUAGGGCAGGAGCUGAGGGGUGAAGUCUCCCGCCGUCAGCCUGCACUUCUGCGUGUCUCCAGGAGAGGACGCUGGUGCUUUCCGUGUGGGCGGAAGCAGCUGGUGGGGGUUCUGGGCUGAGCUAUCCAAGCCAUGAACGGGAGGAGGUCAAGAUGUGGGACUCUCAGCUCCUUCUCCAGCACCAUGUCUGUCUGCAUGCCACCAUGUUGCACCAUGAUAAUGAUGGACUAAACCUUUGAAACUGUAAGCCACUCAAAUUAAAUGUUUUCUUUUAUAAGA